rnacentral:rRNA from 1 species
AGAGUUUGAUCAUGGCUCAGAUUGAACCGGCUGGCGGCAUGCUUUACACAUGCAAGUCGAACGGCAGCACGGGCUUCGGCCUGGUGGCGAGUGGCGAACGGGUGAGUAAUGCAUCGGAACGUACCGUGUAAUGGGGGAUAACGUAGCGAAAGUUACGCUAAUACCGCAUACGCCCUGAGGGGGAAAGUGGGGGACCGCAAGGCCUCACGUUAUACGAGCGGCCGAUGUCGGAUUAGCUAGUUGGUGGGGUAAAGGCCUACCAAGGCGACGAUCCGUAGCGGGUCUGAGAGGAUGAUCCGCCACACUGGGACUGAGACACGGCCCAGACUCCUACGGGAGGCAGCAGUGGGGAAUUUUGGACAAUGGGCGCAAGCCUGAUCCAGCCAUGCCGCGUGAGUGAAGAAGGCCUUCGGGUUGUAAAGCUCUUUCAGGUGGAAAGAAAUCGCACUUUCUAAUACAAGGUGUGGAUGACGGUACCAUCAGAAGAAGCACCGGCUAACUACGUG